AACGAACGCUGGCGGCAGGCCUAACACAUGCAAGUCGAGCGAGGACUUCGGUCCUAGCGGCGGACGGGUGAGUAACGCGUGGGAACGUGCCCUUUGCUUCGGAAUAGCCCUGGGAAACUGGGAGUAAUACCGGAUGAGCCCUUUGGGGGAAAGAUUUAUCGGCGAAGGAUCGGCCCGCGUUGGAUUAGGUAGUUGGUGGGGUAAUGGCCUACCAAGCCGACGAUCCAUAGCUGGUUUGAGAGGAUGAUCAGCCACACUGGGACUGAGUCACGGCCCAGACUCCUACGGGAGGCAGCAGUGGGGAAUCUUAGACAAUGGGGGAAACCCUGAUCGAGCCAUGCCGCGUGAGCGAUGAAGGCCUUAGGGUUGUAAAGCUCUUUCAGCUGGGAAGAUAAUGACGGUACCAGCAGAAGAAGCCCCGGCUAACUCCGUG
rnacentral:rRNA from 1 species